rnacentral:tRNA from 1 species
GAGGCGGAGCGGGCGGGCGCGCCGCAGGCCGCCGCGGCCGCGGCGCCGGCGCCCGCGGGCGUCGGCGCGCUCGGCCGCGUCGAGCCCGCCUCGC